AAGCCAGCCGAUAAGUCUGCUUACCUGAAUGUGCUCUGCAGAAACUUAGAGAAAGCUGGCCAUAGGAAAGCCAUGUGGUGAGCCUUAAAGACACUGAAGUCACUGAAACCGGUGUGGCUCAGUG